UACGAGGGGUGCAAGCGUUGCUCGGAAUUAUUGGGCGUAAAGGGUAGGUAGGUGGUCUCAUUUGUCAGGGGUGAAAGCCUUGGGCUUAACCCAAGAAGUGCCCCUGAAACGGUGAGACUAGAGUGCUGGAGAGGGUCGUGGAAUUCCCGGUGUAGCGGUGAAAUGCGUAGAGAUCGGGAGGAACACCAGAGGCGAAGGCGGCGACCUGGACAGCUACUGACACUCAACUACGAAAGCGUGGGAGCAAACAGG
rnacentral:rRNA from 1 species